GAAGACAGGCGGAUGAUCGCCUGCAGUGUGGUCUGCAGGAGGAAAGUCCGGGCUCCGCAGGGCAAGGUGGUUCGUAACGCGAACCGGGGGUGACCCCAGGGAAAGUGCCACAGAAAACAGACCGCCAUGCUAUAGGCAUGGUAAGGGUGAAAAGGUGAGGUAAGAGCUCACCAGCCGGGAGAGUGAUCUUCCGGGCUUGGUAAACCCCACCUGGAGCAAGACCAAAUAGGGAGAUGACUGAAGGUGGCCCGCCUGAGUCUCCGGGUAGGUUGCUAGAGGUUCCAGGCGACUGGUACCCUAGAUGAAUGAUCAUCAUUCCAUUGUGUAUGGAAUACAGAACCCGGCUUACAGCCUGUCUUCAGGG
rnacentral:RNase_P_RNA from 1 species